rnacentral:rRNA from 1 species
GACGAACGCUGGCGGCGUGCCUAAUACAUGCAAGUCGAACGCAGUGGGGACGGGUGAGUAACACGUGGGUAACCUCCCAUCAGAGGGGAUAACACUUGGAAACAGGUGCUAAACCGAUACUGAUGGAUGGACCCGCGGUGCAUUAGCUAGUUGGUGAGGUAACGGCUCACCAAGGCCACGAUGCAUAGGCGACCUGGGGAGGGGGUCGGCCAAACUGGGGCCGAGACACGGCCCAGGCUCCUGCGGGGGGGAGGAGGAGGGAAUCUUCGGGAAAGGACGAAAGUCUGACCGAGCAACGGCGCGGGAGUGAAGAAGGUUUGCGGAUCGUAAAACUCUGUUGGUAGAGAAGCGGUAUCUAACCAGAAAGCCACGGCUUACUACGUGCCAGGAGGCGCGGUAAUUC